GGGCAUUCUGCUUCUAGCCUAUCGCCACCGAAAAGACAUUGAGACAAAAUGGAAAAAAUCCACAAGAUUGUUUUAAAAAAUGACGUGUUUGAUGAUUUGCAGAGGAAGAAUUUGUUUUAACGGAAUGCACUUGAGAAUGGGUAAACUGGGCAAUUAAAAUGUUUGUGGAAUUGAUGUCGGAUACAGAGUUUAAAGCAUAUGAUUUUACUUUCCUUUGUGUGAUAAAAGUUUGUGCUGCGCUUUUAAAUGCUGGGUUAGGCCAGGUGAUCGAUUAUUCAUGAGAUGGUGAUGUAGAUGGCUUUGGUUUUGGUAUUUCGUGGGUAAUGUAUUGGUUGCAACGUAUGAGAAAUGCG
rnacentral:misc_RNA from 1 species